rnacentral:lncRNA from 1 species
UUAAUUCACUUAUAGGGUCUUUGCAUUGGAACUAAACACAUUUAUUCAAAAAAACAGUUGUUGGCAUGACACUGGUUAUGUUCUUCUCAUAUAUGUUAUGAUGGUAUGAUACUAAACCCCUAAUGGGAAGGAUUGUGCUUGAUAUUCAUAUGAUGAAAUCAUAAUCUUUCAGUCAGUUUUAUUGAAGUCUGGAGCUGGCAUGUCAGUUAACUGCUAGUAGUCUGUUGUUAUUUAUGUAUUAUUGUCAUUUUGUUUAUUUUCUAGACUAUGGUUACAUGUACAUCUUCUGACAUCAGACUCAGACUUCUCUUGAAC